GGUUGUCGUCAGCUCGUGUCGUGAGAUGUUGGUUAAGUCCGCAACGAGCGCAACCCUUAUUGCUAGUUACCAUCAUUCAGUUGGGGACUCUAGCGAGACUGCCAGUGAUAAACUGGAGGAAGGUGGGGAUGACGUCAAAUCAUCAUGCCCCUUAUGACCUGGGCUACAAACGUGAUACAAUGGCUGAAACAAAGGGCAGCGAAGCAGUGAUGUGGAGCGAAACCCAAAAAAGCAGUCUCAGUUCGGAUUGAAGUCUGCAACUCGACUUCAUGAAGUCGGAAUCGCUAGUAAUCGCGGAUCAGAACGCCGCGGUGAAUACGUUCUCGGGGUUU
rnacentral:rRNA from 1 species